rnacentral:rRNA from 1 species
GACGAACGCUGGCGGCGUGCUUAACACAUGCAAGUCGAACGGUGAACUCCGCUUGCGGGGGGAUCAGUGGCGAACGGGUGAGUAAAACGUGGGCAACCUGCCCUCAGCUCUGGGAUAACUCCAAGAAAUUGGGGCUAAUACCGGAUAUGACCGCUGACCGCAUGGUCUGGUGGUGGAAAGAUUUAUCGGCUGGGGAUGGGCCCGCGGCCUAUCAGCUUGUUGGUGGGGUAGUGGCCUACCAAGGCGACGACGGGUAGCCGGCCUGAGAGGGUGACCGGCCACACUGGGACUGAGACACGGCCCAGACUCCUACGGGAGGCAGCAGUGGGGAAUAUUGCGCAAUGGGCGAAAGCCUGACGCAGCGACGCCGCGUGGGGGAUGACGGCCUUCGGGUUGUAAACCUCUUUCAGCAGGGACGAAGCGAAAGUGACGGUACCUGCAGAAGAAGCACCGGCCAACUACGUG